GACGAACGCUGGCGGCGUGCUUAACACAUCCAAGUCGAACGGAAAGGCCCUGCUUUUGUGGGGUGCUCGAGUGGCGAACGGGUGAGUAACACGUGAGUAACCUGCCCUUGACUUUGGGAUAACUUCAGGAAACUGGGGCUAAUACCGGAUAGGAGCUCCUGCUGCAUGGUGGGGGUUGGAAAGUUUCGGCGGUUGGGGAUGGACUCGCGGCUUAUCAGCUUGUUGGUGGGGUAGUGGCUUACCAAGGCUUUGACGGGUAGCCGGCCUGAGAGGGUGACCGGCCACAUUGGGACUGAGAUACGGCCCAGACUCCUACGGGAGGCAGCAGUGGGGAAUAUUGCACAAUGGGCGGAAGCCUGAUGCAGCAACGCCGCGUGCGGGAUGACGGCCUUCGGGUUGUAAACCGCUUUCGCCUGUGGCGAAGCGUGAGUGACGGUAAUGGGUAAAGAAGCACCGGCUAACUACGUG
rnacentral:rRNA from 1 species